rnacentral:rRNA from 1 species
CACGUAGGGCGCAAGCGUUGUCCGGAAUUAUUGGGCGUAAAGAGCUCGUAGGCGGUCUGUUGCGUCCGCUGUGAAAACUCGGGGCUUAACCCCGAGCCUGCAGUGGAUACGGGCAGACUAGAGGUAGGUAGGGAAGAAUGGAAUUCCCGGUGUAGCGGUGAAAUGCGCAGAUAUCGGGAGGAACACCGGUGGCGAAGGCG